GACAGAGGGUGCAAACGUUGUUCGGAAUUACUGGGCGUAAAGCGUGCGCAGGCGGUUUUGUAAGCCAGAUGUGAAAGCCCCGGGCUUAACCUGGGAAUGGCAUUUGGGACUGCAAGGCUUGAGUGCGGCAGAGGAGACUGGAAUUCCUGGUGUAGCAGUGAAAUGCGUAGAUAUCAGGAGGAAUACCGAUGGCGAAGACAGGUCUCUGGGCUGACACUGACGCUCAUGCACGAAAGCGUGGGGAGCAAACAGG
rnacentral:rRNA from 1 species